rnacentral:misc_RNA from 1 species
UGGCUAUUGAGGAGUCUGUGAAAGAACUUCUGUUAGAAAACUUCAGAAAUUUGGAUUUUGUGAAGGAUGUUUCUUUGGAUUUGAGCUAUCAAAGGGUAGUUCUUGAAGAGAAGAAUGAAAAGAUUGGGGCUUUUAUUAAUGAGAAUAAGAGGGCUGGGAAGAUUUUUACAGCUAUGUCCUUCAGUGAAGAUCAAAACUAUGCAGUGGCCAACACAAGUAACAUGAAGAUUAGUUGG